rnacentral:misc_RNA from 1 species
GUGAAUCAUCAAAUUUUUGAACGCAAAUUGCACUCUCUUCGGAGAGUAUGCCUGUUUGAGGGUCAGCCUAAAAAAAAUCGACAUAGUUGCUGUUACGCGGUAACAUUCGUCGGAAAUUGGGUCAUCUUAAACCUUUGGGUUUAAGCGCCUUAAAAUUUCUUUUACGAUUCCAGGACGGUUUCUAAGAUUUUAUUUCUUUAUACGUUUAAGGAACGGUUCUU